AUUUGCCUUUUACAGGAGGAUAGCCCAGAGAAAUUUGGAUUAAUACUCCAUGGUAUUACGGGAUCGCAUGGUUUUGUAAUUAAAGUUUCGGCGGUAGAAGAUGAGUAUGCGUCCUAUUAGCUAGUUGGUAAGGUAACGGCUUACCAAGGCGACGAUAGGUAGGGGUCCUGAGAGGGAGAUCCCCCACACUGGUACUGAGACACGGACCAGACUCCUACGGGAGGCAGCAGUGAGGAAUAUUGGUCAAUGGAGGCAACUCUGAACCAGCCAUGCCGCGUGCAGGAAGACUGCCCUAUGGGUUGUAAACUGCUUUUAUACAGGAAGAAACUUACCCACGUGUGGGUAACUGACGGUACUGUACGAAUAAGGACCGGCUAACUCCGUGCCAGCAGCCGCGGUAAUACGGAGGGUCCGAGCGUUAUCCGGAAUCAUUGGGUUUAAAGGGUCCGUAGGCGGGCGAUUAAGUCAGAGGUGAAAUCCCACAGCUCAACUGUGGAACUGCCUUUGAUACUGGUUGUCUUGAGUUACAGUGAAGUAGAUAGAAUAUGUAGUGUAGCGGUGAAAUGCAUAGAUAUUACAUAGAAUACCGAUUGCGAAGGCAGUCUACUAACUGUUAACUGACGCUGANGGA
rnacentral:rRNA from 1 species